GCCCAGGUAGCUCAGUUGGUAGAGCAAAGGACUGAAAAUCCUUGUGUCACUGGUUCAAUUCCAGUCCUGGGCACCA
rnacentral:tRNA from 3 species